rnacentral:rRNA from 1 species
AGCGAACGCUGGCGGCAUGCUUAACACAUGCAAGUCGCGCGGUCAGCAAUGGCAGCGGCGGACGGGUGAGUAACGCGUAGGAAUGUAUCUAGAGGUGGGGGACAACCCUGGGAAACUGGGGCUAAUACCGCAUAUGUCCUGAGGGACAAAGCCGAGAGGCGCCUUUGGAGCAGCCUGCGUCCGAUUAGGUAGUUGGUGGGGUAACGGCUACCAAGCCUGCGAUCGGUAGCUGGUCUGAGAGGACGACCAGCCACACUGGGACUGAGACACGGCCCAGACUCCUACGGAGGCAGCAGUGGGAAUAUUGGACAAUGGGCGCAAGCCUGAUCCAGCAAUGCCGCGUGGGUGAAGAAGGUCUUCGGAUUGUAAAGCCC